rnacentral:rRNA from 1 species
GACGAACGCUGGCGGCGUGCUUAACACAUGCAAGUCGAACGGAAAGGCCCUGCUUUUGUGGGGUGCUCGAGUGGCGAACGGGUGAGUAACACGUGAGUAACCUGCCCUUGACUUUGGGAUAACUUCAGGAAACUGGGGCUAAUACCGGAUAGGAGCUCCUGCUGCAUGGUGGGGGUUGGAAAGUUUCGGCGGUUGGGGAUGGACUCGCGGCUUAUCAGCUUGUUGGUGGGGUAGUGGCUUACCAAGGCUUUGACGGGUAGCCGGCCUGAGAGGGUGACCGGCCACAUGGGGACUGAGGUACGGCCCAGACUCCUACGGGAGGCAGCAGUGGGGAAUAUUACACAAUGGGCGGAAGCCUGAUGCAGCAACGCCGCGUGCGGGAUGACGGCCUUCGGGUUGUAAACCGCUUUCGCCUGUGACGAAGCGUGAGUGACGGUAAUGGGUAAAGAAGCACCGGCUAACUACGUG